rnacentral:tRNA from 2 species
GCCCGUGUAGCUCAGCCGGUAGAGCACUUGCAUGGUAAGCAAGAGGUCACCAGUUCAAUCCUGGUCGCGGGCU